UGUGAACUCGAAGAGUAGGGCGGGACACGUGGUAUCCUGUCUGAAUAUGGGGGGACCAUCCUCCAAGGCUAAAUACUCCUGACUGACCGAUAGUGAACCAGUACCGUGAGGGAAAGGCGAAAAGAACCCCGGCGAGGGGAGUGAAAAAGAACCUGAAACCGUGUACGUACAAGCAGUGGGAGCACCUUCGGGUGUGACUGCGUACCUUUUGUAUAAUGGGUCAGCGACUUAUAUUCUGUAGCAAGGUUAACCGUAUAGGGGAGCCGCAGGGAAACCGAGUCUUAACUGGGCGUUAAGUUGCAGGGUAUAGACCCGAAACCCGGUGAUCUAGCCAUGGGCAGGUUGAAGGUUGGGUAACACUAACUGGAGGACCGAACCGACUAAUGUUGAAAAAUUAGCGGAUGACUUGUGGCUGGGGGUGAAAGGCCAAUCAAACCGGGAGAUAGCUGGUUCUCCCCGAAAGCUAUUUAGGUAGCGCCUCGUGAACUCAUCUUCGGGGGUAGAGCACUGUUUCGGCUAGGGGGUCAUCCCGACUUACCAACCCGAUGCAAACUACGAAUACCGAAGAAUGUUAUCACGGGAGACACACGGCGGGUGCUAACGUCCGUCGUGAAGAGGGAAACAACCCAGACCGCCAGCUAAGGUCCCAAAGUCAUGGUUAAGUGGGAAACGAUGUGGGAAGGCACAGACAGCCAGGAUGUUGGCUUAGAAGCAGCCAUCAUUUAAAGAAAGCGUAAUAGCUCACUGGUCGAGUCGGCCUGCGCGGAAGAUGUAACGGGGCUAAACCAUGCACCGAAGCUGCGGCAGCGACACUAUGUGUUGUUGGGUAGGGGAGCGUUCUGUAAGCCUGCGAAGGUGUGCUGUGAGGCAUGCUGGAGGUAUCAGAAGUGCGAAUGCUGACAUAAGUAACGAUAAAGCGGGUGAAAAGCCCGCUCGCCGGAAGACCAAGGGUUCCUGUCCAACGUUAAUCGGGGCAGGGUGAGUCGACCCCUAAGGCGAGGCCGAAAGGCGUAGUCGAUGGGAAACAGGUUAAUAUUCCUGUACUUGGUGUUACUGCGAAGGGGGGACGGAGAAGGCUAUGUUAGCCGGGCGACGGUUGUCCCGGUUUAAGCAUGUAGGCUGAUUGUCCAGGCAAAUCCGGAUAAUCAAGGCUGAGGUGUGAUGACGAGGCACUACGGUGCUGAAGUAACAAAUGCCCUGCUUCCAGGAAAAGCCUCUAAGCAUCAGGUAACAUUAAAUCGUACCCCAAACCGACACAGGUGGUCAGGUAGAGAAUACCAAGGCGCUUGAGAGAACUCGGGUGAAGGAACUAGGCAAAAUGGUGCCGUAACUUCGGGAGAAGGCACGCUGGUGUGUAGGUGAAGUCCCUGCGGAUGGAGCUGAGACCAGUCGAAGAUACCAGCUGGCUGCAACUGUUUAUUAAAAACACAGCACUGUGCAAACACGAAAGUGGACGUAUACGGUGUGACGCCUGCCCGGUGCCGGAAGGUUAAUUGAUGGGGUUAUCCGUAAGGAGAAGCUCUUGAUCGAAGCCCCGGUAAACGGCGGCCGUAACUAUAACGGUCCUAAGGUAGCGAAAUUCCUUGUCGGGUAAGUUCCGACCUGCACGAAUGGCGUAAUGAUGGCCAGGCUGUCUCCACCCGAGACUCAGUGAAAUUGAACUCGCUGUGAAGAUGCAGUGUACCCGCGGCAAGACGGAAAGACCCCGUGAACCUUUACUAUAGCUUGACACUGAACAUUGAGCCUUGAUGUGUAGGAUAGGUGGGAGGCUUUGAAGCGUGGACGCCAGUCUGCGUGGAGCCAACCUUGAAAUACCACCCUUUAAUGUUUGAUGUUCUAACGUUGGCCCCUGACCGGGGUUGCGGACAGUGUCUGGUGGGUAGUUUGACUGGGGCGGUCUCCUCCCAAAGCGUAACGGAGGAGCACGAAGGUUAGCUAAUCCUGGUCGGACAUCAGGAGGUUAGUGCAAUGGCAUAAGCUAGCUUGACUGCGAGCGUGACGGCGCGAGCAGGUGCGAAAGCAGGUCAUAGUGAUCCGGUGGUUCUGAAUGGAAGGGCCAUCGCUCAACGGAUAAAAGGUACUCCGGGGAUAACAGGCUGAUACCGCCCAAGAGUUCAUAUCGACGGCGGUGUUUGGCACCUCGAUGUCGGCUCAUCACAUCCUGGGGCUGAAGUAGGUCCCAAGGGUAUGGCUGUUCGCCAUUUAAAGUGGUACGCGAGCUGGGUUUAGAACGUCGUGAGACAGUUCGGUCCCUAUCUGCCGUGGGCGCUGGAGAAUUGAGGGGGGCUGCUCCUAGUACGAGAGGACCGGAGUGGACGCAUCACUGGUGUUCGGGUUGUCAUGCCAAUGGCACUGCCCGGUAGCUAAAUGCGGAAGAGAUAAGUGCUGAAAGCAUCUAAGCACGAAACUUGCCCCGAGAUGAGUUCUCCCUGAGACUUUAAGUCUCCUGAAGGAACGUUAAAGACGAUGACGUUGAUAGGCCGGGUGUGUAAGCGCAGCGAUGCGUUGAGCUAACCGGUACUAAUGAACCGUGAGGCUUAACCUU
rnacentral:rRNA from 1 species